rnacentral:rRNA from 1 species
CCUACGGGAGGCAGCAGUGGGGAAUCUUGCGCAAUGGGCGAAAGCCUGACGCAGCAACGCCGCGUGCGGGAAGAAGGCCCUAGGGUUGUAAACCGCUUUCAGUAGGAACGAAAAUGACGGUACCUGCAGAAGAAGGUGCGGCCAACUACGUGCCAGCAGCCGCGGUGACACGUAGGCACCAAGCGUUGUCCGGAUUUAUUGGGCGUAAAGAGCUCGUAGGCGGUUCAGUAAGUCGGGUGUGAAAACUCUGGGCUUAACCCAGAGCCGCCACUCGAUACUGCUGUGACUUGAGUUCGGUAGGGGAGCAGGGAAUUCCUAGUGUAGCGGUGAAAUGCGCAGAUAUUAGGAGGAACACCGGUGGCGAAGGCGCUGCUCUGGGCCGAUACUGACGCUGAGGAGCGAAAGCGUGGGUAGCAAACAGGAUUAGAUACCCUGGUAGUCCACGCCGUAAACGUUGGGCACUAGGUGUGGGUUCCAACCAACGGAAUCCGCGCCGUCGCUAACGCAUUAAGUGCCCCGCCUGGGGAGUACGGCGGCAACGCUAAAACUCAAAAUGAAUUGAACG